GUGAAACGCAAGGGGAAGUGGGCAGUGGUGUUAUUGUAAAUGAAUCGAAAUCUGCUAAGUUUCCUUUGUCGUUUUGGGAGAUUGGUGUAGCUGUUAGUGUCGUUUUGGGUUAUGCAUUGGGUCUUGGUUGUGUUUAUCUCACCAUGCCUGCUUCGGAUUAUAGCUUCCUCAAGCUUCCUAGAAAUCUUGAAGAUCUUCAAAUACUCAGGGAUCACCUGGAGAGCUAUACCAGUGACUAUACUGUUCAGGUCCUUGUCGGAUACUGUGUAGUUUACAUCUUUAUGCAGACAUUUAUGAUCCCAGGAACAGUUUUCAUGUCACUUCUUGCUGGGUCUCUCUUUGGAGUCUUCAGAGGUGUAGCACUGGUCGUAUUCACCGCUACUGCUGGUGCAUCAUCUUGCUAUUUCCUAUCCAAACUGAUUGGGCGGCCCCUUGUGUUCUCGCUAUGGCCUGAUAAAUUAACUUUCUUUCGUGACCAGGUCGCCAAAAGGCGAAAAGGGCUGCUUAAUUACAUGCUUUUCUUGAGAGUUACACCGACACUGCCAAACACAUUUAUCAAUGUUGCUUCACCAAUAGUGGAUGUACCUUACCAUACAUUCUUCUUUGCAACUGUCAUUGGGAUUAUUCCAGCUGCUUAUGUCACUGUCAGGGCUGGAAUAACUCUUGGUGAAUUGCAGUCAGUGGGUGAUCUCUAUGACAUGCAUUCUAUAGCUACUCUUUUCCUUAUCGGCCUUGUAUCUAUUACCCCAACAUUGAUUGGAAACAAGAACUAAUACAGAGCUCAAGCAUCAUCAGAAAGCAUUGUGAAGUGCUUAGACAACCAUAAAUCUUCCUCGGCAUGACUUCAUUAUCUGUACAGAUUAGCGUUAGACAGUUGCAUGGUGCUCAAGUCUCAGCCGCAGA
rnacentral:misc_RNA from 1 species